CAUGAACGCUGGCGGCGUGCCUAAUACAUGCAAGUCGAGCGGAAGGACGAUAAGCUUUUUCUUCUGCGGUUAGCGGCUGCCGGGUGUGUGACGCGUGGAUCACCAACUUCUAUGUCUGGGAGAACUUCGAGACACCGCAUCCCCUACCGCCAAAUAUGUUGAACCGCUUGGUUCAAUAGAGAAAGCCAGCUUUGCCGCCUCUUAUAGCCGGUUCCGCGCUGCAUUAGCUAGUUGGUAAAGUAACGGCUUACCAAGGCUACGAUGCGUAGCCGGCCUGAGAGGGUGAUCAGCCACACUGGAACUGAGACACGGUCCAGACUCCUACGGGAGGCAGCAGUGGGGAAUCUUCCACAAUGGGCGAAAGCCUGAUGCAGCAACGCCGCGUGAGUGAUGAAGGUCUUCGGGUCGUAAAACCCUGUUGUUAGGGAAGAACAGAAGCGGAAGUAACCCCCCCCGUCUUGACGGUACCCAAUCAGAAAGCAACGGCUAACUUCGUG
rnacentral:rRNA from 1 species